rnacentral:rRNA from 1 species
CCCUUAGAUGUCCUGGGCCGCACGCGCGCUACACUGACAUGUUCAACAAGCCUCCUAGUUCGACAGGAUUUGGGAAAUCUUUGAACGCAUGUCGUGAUAGGGAUAGAUCAUUGCAAUUAUUGAUCUUGAACGAGGAAUUCCUAGUAAACGCGAGUCAUCAGCUCGCAUUGAUUACGUCCCUGCCCUUUGUACACACCGCCCGUCGCACCUACCGAUUGAAUGGUUUAGUGAGGACUCCUGAUUGGCGCCGCCGCCCCGGCAACGGAGCAGCGGACUGCCGAAAAGUUGUUCAAACUUGAUCAUUUAGAGGAAGUAAAAGUCGUAACA